UACGGAGGGUGCAAGCGUUAUCCGGAUUUACUGGGUUUAAAGGGUGUGUAGGCGGACUUUUAAGUCCGUGGUGAAAUCUCCGGGCUCAACCCGGAAACUGCCAUGGAUACUAUUUGUCUUGAAUAUUGUUGAGGUGGGCGGAACGGGUCAUGUAGCGGUGAAAUGCAUAGAUAUGACCCGGAACACCGAUUGCGAAGGCAGCCCACUAAGCAAUGAUUGACGCUGAGGCACGAAAGCGUGGGGAUCAAACAGG
rnacentral:rRNA from 1 species